ensembl:lncRNA
UUCUUUCAGUCUCUCAACCUCUCUCUCUAACUCUUUUACCUUUUCGUUAACCAGUUUGACUUUCUCAUUCUCUGCAAUACGCAUGUCUCUUUCUCUUUCAAAUAUGAUUUCCUUCUCAAUCUCUUUCAAUCUCUCAAUCUCUCGUUCUAACGCUUUUAUCGUUUCUUCUGCCUGUUCCACUUUCUUCUUCAUUUCUUGUCUUUCCAAUUCUGCUUUUCUCUUCCUUUCCAUCUCCCUUUCUCUCUCUCUUUCCCUCUCUCUUCCUGUUUCAAUAGGUUUGUUGUUCCAGGCCAGUCUUGGUCGCUGAUCCUCCAUGACUUUCUGCCAUAGCCUCAAUCUCUCAAUCUCUUGCUUCAUUUUAAAAGAGGCACACUUGGAGUCUGUCCAUCUCCUUCUUCUGAUUUCGGAUUGUUCGAUUCUUCCCCCUCAACUCAAGCAUGUGGGCUUCCUUCUCUGUAUAGGUCUUCUUCUCUUCUCUCGGGAAGUGAACCUCCAUCUCUGCCUGCUUGUAGCUGGGAGCAAAGGAAUGUCAACACAUUAUUUAGGAAGUGAACUCAGACAAUUUACUACAAUAUUAAAAUAAUAAUUCAACUUCUGCUCAAUUUAACUGUCUUUAAUAACACAAAUCACACAACUGUGACUUACAGUACGUGAAUGUGAUGAGUUGACUGUCCAUGAUGGCCAGAGGUGGGUAAUGUGUCACUCUGGUCCAGGGCGUUACGUACAGCUUGCAGACACUGAGCCUUCCUUCAGCAAGCCGCACAUAAUGCCCUGGACCAGAGCUAGGUUAUGUGAUGAAUGACUUACAGACUGUUCCACAUGAUAGGAGGGGGUAAGAAGACAGUCCCAGUAGGAGACGGAGAUCGUCCAGAAGAAGAAGAGGUGUCCAUCUCCUCAGAGACUGCAGGAAAGGUCUACAAGUUUUAUUUCUGGAAAAUAAAGAGAUGCCUUCAUUUAGCAACAAUCUGUGUUUCUAUGUUUCUGUCACUAGAUGAUGCCAUUGUACACAACAUUUACUCACCAGGUCAGUGAAUUCAGAAACAGUCUUCAGAGUUGAGUCCUCAAGCUCUAGCCUACAACCCAUCAUGCAUCAGCACAACUAAUAUAAUAAUACCUCAUCACAACUUCAUAAUCACAGUACACCUGGAUUGUGUUCACAAAGUGUUUCAGGGUAGGAGUGCUGAUCUAGGAUCAGGUCGACCUCCUGUCCAUCAAAACGUAUUCAGUUUAAUUUAAAAGACCUAACUGAUUAUUGAUCAGCACUCCUUCUAUGAGACUUUGUGAAUAUGAGCCUAUGUGAAAGAACCUUUCUGGCAUAUGCUGGCUAGACAGUACACAGACAAUUCAGAUAGUCCGACAGACAGACAGAAGAGUAGAUACAGAUGGAGUGAUUGAUAGCAACAGAAAUAACGAAGCGGAUGGUUAAUGUAUUGUAAACUUUUGUAAAUAUUUGACUCACCUCAAAUCACACGUGUCAAACCUCAGUUUUAGUGUUGAACCGAAUAAUAUCCUCGGCAUUAACUUUCUCUGGUCUGGAGCUGUAUUGUUGCGUCAUUUGGAACGCUUGAGCGUCAUAAUCCGUUCACCGCGCCUGCUUGAUUGACAGCUAGGGGUUCUCCUGCGCAUCAGUGUCCAAAAGUCGAUAAUGUUUAGCUACUCAUAAUUGAUAA